rnacentral:lncRNA from 1 species
AUGAUCCACUGUGGCACACGGAGGCGUGAAAAAUCCCGAGCGUGUGUUCCUGCAACAGAAGGACGGCACUGGAAACGCACAAAAUUGCUGCGAGAGCACCGUGCUUUUCCAUCCCAGCCUUUACCUGAUGUUCGGGGCUGCACCGGCUUGGCGGGGGGGGGGGGGGGGGGGGUUCGGCUGCUCUACCCUGCUGCCCACAUCAAACGGCAUGUGUCUCAGGCAAGACGCUGUGCUUUCUUGUGGGGCUGCUUCACGUUCCUGCUGAGCUCCGAUGCCCCCAUCUCUAGACGUGUGCGCACGUACGCGCACACACACACAUGCAGUGUGGUGAGUUUCAUAGAAACCAACCGCUGAAUAAAACAUUGAUUUCCAAGGACUCGUUUUUCUGAUAAUCUCCCUGCACAGUACAUGUUCAAAGCAAGACUGCGUACCGUAUACACAAACUCAC